CGUAUGACUCUUGGCAAUGGAUAUCUCGGCUCUUGCAUCGAUGACCACGCAGCAAAUGCGAUACCUGGUGUGAAUUGCAGAAUCCCGUGAACCAUCGAGUUUUUGAACGCAAGUUGCGCCCGAGGCCUUUUGGUCGAGGGCACGUCUGCCUGGGCGUCACGU
rnacentral:rRNA from 2 species